rnacentral:misc_RNA from 1 species
UCGAGCAAUGGUGGUGUUAUGACCUAAGAAAAUAAAUCGAAUUCAUUGUCAUUUAUUGCUGUGUUAUUUCACUAUAGCUCAACAAAUAUAUUUCUAGAUGAAACAUUAGCCCUUAGGGUUCUGUAUGGUAUAAUAUAAAGACAUGGAUUGGAGUGUAAUUGUGUGAUAUCUGGAAACUGUAGUUGUCUUGGUGGGGAUUAUCAGUAAAGAGCAGUAGUGCUGGAUUCCUUUUGAUUUCAAGUUCAGUUCUCUUCAUUCACAAUGUUGUAUGUGUUCCAUGUAGAUGCUGGUCAGAUGACCACCUAUGACAUGAGUCUGACCUUGCAAACAGUGGCCAUGUUAAAAGCUGCUAUAGAAAGAAAGACGAAGACACCUUCAAGUUCCCUGGUGCUAUUGGUCAGUGGUGGUGAGGUCCUGAAAUCUGACCACAUGGUGUCAUCAUACAGUGCAGGCACAGACACAAACCCUAUAUAUAUGUUUAGUAAGCCGUCAGUUAAAGAGAGUCAUCUAAAGAAAUCAAUGUGCAGCGAUCUCAGUCCAAUAUUGGAGUUAGAAUCAGGUGAAUUCCGGAGUGGGGAGAGGAGUUUCGAUGGAAAGUCGUUUGCUGACCUCAAGGCGAGCGUGGACAAGUGCUGCUCUCUGCCAGCCACUGUCAGCACGGUCAUAGCCUGCGCGACUCUUGCGCAGAGGUUCAGUGACCUCGCGCAUGAGCUGUCUAGGAGCUGUGAACAAUUGGUACAUGAGCAGCAUCUUCAGCAUCAGGGUUGGGCGGCAGUGGUAGCGAACUUAGAAGAUAUAUUUAACGAGUUUUGCGACAGAUCAAGAAAUUUCAAAGAAACGUUCAAGAAGCAUCGCGCGAAAAAGGAGGAAUACCAUCAGCAACUGAAUACACUCAACGAAGUAUUAGAAGCACUAGGUAAAAUUCCGAUACUGCCGGCGUUGCAAGUGAACGCUGAAGCCCAUCGGUUCUCUGGUUUCGAUGUGUUUGAAGAGGCAGACUUCGAGGGAAACCUAUACAGGGUCAGCCAUCCGCUGGACAACAGCUCGGAGACGAAACACCAGGAAUUUGGAGUCGAGGCGUUCAAGUUGUCUGAAGAAGAUGUAUUCGAACAAAAAGAUGCGGCAGCAAAAAAGGAUUCGAUGCAGUCGGACGACCGGCCGGUGCAGGAGUCUGACGAAGGGAUGCGAUUCGGAAGGUAUUCCUCAGAGAGCAAAGAUGAACUCACUCUGUUGCAUUGGAUAUUGGCGAGGGGCAACAAAGAUUCGUUACAAGAUAUAAUCGAUUACUGCCAAAAAGGACUCACACUGAUCGAGACAGAGCCAUUGAAAGAGCACGAAGAAGAAUUAUGUCACAUUCUAGAAUAUGCGAAUCUUCACGGUUUGAAGCAGAUCAAGGGCAUAGAGGAACGGUUGUAUCGCCUCGAUCAGUUGUUGAAUGAAGUGAGGAAAAGGGAGAAGGACCAGCACGAUCAGGCUGCCUCGCUCAUACAGUAUCGCGAACGACUAAACACGGCAUGCGAUCCGUCAGUGCUGCCAACGUUGGUGCAGUCGCACCGGUGUCAACUAGAAAAACUGCUCAAAGGACACCAGGCCAUAGCGGAUAUCCGCAGGCGGAUCAUUAAGUCAAAGGAUGAACUGUCUUAUAUUUUAAAGUCUAGAUUAGAGGCGGUACUAAUGAUAGAAAACUCGAUGUCCGUGCAAGAUGCGCACGGAAUGCUGUCGUUCCAAUGUUUCAAUCGUCUCGCGCGGUAUUUCGUGAUAGUAUCGCAGCUACAUCGCGCCCCUGCCGUUUUUGUGCGAGCCGUACACGAAGUAGCUAGACGCAGGAAGUUCUCUGAAGCUCAUCUUAAGUGGGCAUCAGAUCUAGCGUCGAAAUUGCAGAAAAUCCACGAAGAGGAAUCAUCGAGGCGACAGGAUUUCAACACUCUCUUCGACGGGCACUUCCUCAAAAGUUUGUUCCCGGGCAUGACAGAGUUGCCCCCGCCAUUCGCAACUCAAGCGCCGCCCGUGUUCGACGCGAAACUGCCCAGGAUCACGGACACCGAUGUCGAGUACAUAGCUAAAUCGUUCCCGCAUUUGACUGAGGAAGUGCCCAAGUAUGAUAUGGAUGCCACAGUUAAAUUUUUUGAACAAAGACUUGUCUCAACAGAUGACAAAGAUAACGAAGAAAUUGCUCAAACAGAAGCUGACGCAGAAAUAGAAGCGAAAGGCGGCUAUUUCGAGGACAUAAUCAGGGCGACGCCCGCGCUGAAGGUGGACACGGCGACGUGCUGCUCGCCCGCGGUGGCGGCGGCGGCCACGCUGACGGAGGACAAUAUGGACACACACAAAAUCAACAUGGAAAAGCUACAGGAAUUCCUAAUAAGUUUAUGCAGUUUAUGUAGAACUAAUAUUAUGUUUAUUAAAGAAGAAUUGGUUAAAUUAAAAGGUGAAAUUAAUGAACAGAAGAAAUUCGUUAAGGGUAAAUAUUUAGAAAUUUUAGAUGGGUGGGAGAGAAGUAAUCAAGAGGCAGCUAUAAGAUUUCGUGAGCACACUCAGAGAAUGACUGUAGACCACGAAUUAGAGUUGAGUGAUAUGAAAGCGGCCAUGACACAAAAAGAUGACGUCAUAGAUUCUCUCAAAAGGGAGAAGGAAGAUUUGAAAUUGGAACAUCAAAAAGAUUUAGAGAGACUAGAUAAAGAGCAUCAGGACACCAAAGAUCUUUUGGAAAAAACUCGAAUGGAAGUGAAAGAGCUAGAAAAGAAAUUGGCGGAAUAUGAUGCGAAUAAACAAGUGGAGAUAAAAGAGUUGCAGGAGAAGAUGCAUUUGGAUUACAAAGCAGAGAUCGAGUCAUUGCGGUCUAGGUUCCGCUUAGUAGCAAUCACAAAUAUGGAUCGUUCUCCGUCCGAAUCGAGUCUUGAGAAAAUAGAACGAACCGAUGUUAUAGAAAUUUCCAGUCACAACGCGAUCGUCAUGCAGACGAAGGAAAACGCCGAAGUGGAAAAGGAGGAGGCGGUAAAAGAGGCGGUCGCGAAAUGUGACGCCGAUUGGAGACUUAAGCUCGAGGAGGAAUUGAAAUCCUUUAAAAAUAAAUAUGAAAACGAGAAACAGGUUAGUAACGACGUGAGUCGUCGCCUCAUCGCUGAAAAGGACCGUCAAUUGGACGCAUUACGCGAGCGAGAGCAAGCGUUGGUCAGGGAAAGUAAUAAGUACAGGGACACAAUUCAACAACUCACAGAUCCCGAGACCAACGAUUACGAUGCCCUGCUCAAGACACAGUUCGCGUCCCUUGAAAACGACAAAGCCGUGCUACAGCAGCAAGUAGCAGAUUUGAAAAAGGAGUUGGAGAGGAGAGAGGAAGCGGAGAAAAGCAGAGACGAAGCGGAGAAGAGCAGAGAAGAUGACAGCGAGGGCAGAUCGUCCCCCAAGAAGGAGACGGUCAGCCGCCGCGGCGUGGCGCACACGCCGGUGGGGCUCCCCGGGGGGACGCUGAGCCUGUCGUCGUGCCUCCCCGGGCACACCGUGCUCGUGCUGUGGGACGCCGCCCACCACAAUUACACCGUGCUGCAGGAAGCUCCGGUCAUGUUCUUUGUAUAUAGUGAUUGUCUGGCCGCCCUUGAUCUCAGUCUGAACGUGAAAAACGAAUCGGAGCGCAAACUGUAUGCCGUGGCGACGGUCGAGUCUAAGGAGUACUGCUAUGCUAAAAGGAGUGUGAACCGCUACAAUAUGCCGCGUGGUUCCCGCUUCUACCGCGUGCACGUGAAGCCGCUGCGCGCGCAGCCGCCGCCGCCGCCGCCUUGCUGCGACCACAAGCAUAAGCAGGAUAAAAUGAAGCGCAGCGUUCUCUCCGUGUUGGGCGAAAACCGACCGCUCAAGAAAUGGUUGACCUACAUGCAUGCCCCAGACAUGCACAGAUCGGUUGACAACAGUCAGUCGACGAGUUCGACCACCGACGAUGCUGGUGGUAGCGGUCGUGCUGAAGUGGCUACCGCUACCCUCAUCAACUUGGAGUCCCCUAAAUCUCCCGCGGAACCGAGCGUAGCGUCCAGCAGUAGCGCGGCCACAGUGCCCGCGACAUCGGAAGACCAGCUGGAUUCUAUAGAAGCCAGCGAAUGGCCGGCCAGGAUGCAAGUGUCUACUGCUAGCGCAAUGUUAUUUUUAAAGUCAAUACUGGAUCCAAGUGGAUCCAGGUAGCCGGAUCCUAGUGGAUCCAGUUGUGUCGCAGCCGUGAGAAGACCAGGCGAAUUCUAUUGAGACUAGUGAAGGAGACCUAGAGAACACAACUGUAGUAAUGACGGACAUGGAGUGCAGCGUGGGGCGCUGCGCGGGCCCCGAGGCGGGCGAGGCGCCCGAGCUGGCCGAGGAGGCCGCGCCCUGA